GAGAUAGAUGCAUCUUUGGAUAAUUAUGUAUGUACUGCUGCUUUACACGGUGACAUGCCUUAUAAAAACCAAUGCAUAGACAUAUAGGAUAUGAGUUAAAAGAUAACUUUUUACAUUCUGUAGUAUUAAAUGGUUUCUAACUUCCUAAACAUUUUUAAUUAAUGUUAGGUGUGCAUGCAUAUUGUCAGCAGUCACAAUGCCAUAAGUUUUCAUCACUCAUUAAAUAAAACAUGCAGUGGAUGCAUUAAAAAUGAAAAAAAAGGAUACAAUAGAAAAUAGAGGGGGGAAAAAAAUAUUUGGCCCACCGCUCAGGUUUGGGUACAAAAGUGCUUGCUAAGCUAUCUAUUUCACACAUGCAACGACAGAAGGUUCGAUAUUCAUUCGAUCGAUGAGUGAAAAGGCACAAUGGCAAAAUCGGUCGGGCUCCUUUUCAAAUACAGAUCUCAAAUGUCCCCCUACAGUCUGCAGUCGCACGGCUGGUGGUGUGGUUCAGACGAAGCAAGGGUUACAUCAAGGCUUGGACCGUUCAAACAGUCUAGACCAAUGACCUGCAGCAUUAUGCCCUUUGAAGAAGAUGCGAGUGCGUUCCUCAUGGAGAAAAAUCGAGGCGUACCCCUUUUAACAAAAGGGAGCAGCUCAUGGCUGCAAAGAGGUAAGCAGGGGUAAGUGAAAAAGGCAUCUGCUCCCAUGGUUACAGGCCAACUACGAAAACCUUGCCUUUCAAGGGAGAGUGUUCUCAUGCUCUCUCACUGGCUGUGUCAUGCAUUAUAAGCAAAGACAGGUUCAGCUAAAACCCGC